AUGAGCGACGCCUCCGCCGCCGGCCAGGGCGCUCUGGAUGCCGCCUCGUCCGGCGACGCUUCUUCGCCGGCGCCCUUAACCAUCCACAACGUGGACAUCUUCACCCACGUCCCCGCCAAGCUAGACUUCGACGCCGACAACUACGCCGAGUGGAGGGACGGCAUGCUCUCCGCGCUCGCCGAGUUCGGCGCCGUCGACCACGUCGAGGAGCAGGCCCACUCCCUGCACGACGGAGACGAGGAGUGGAUGCGCGCCGACGUCACCAUCGUCCUCUGGAUCUACACCACCAUCUCCGACGAGCUGCUGGACGAGGACGAGGGCGCGUUCGACCCGGCCCUGGAGCUCCGCACCGCCGCGCAGGGGGACAUGUCCGUCAACGCCUACGGCUGGCGCCUCAAGGCGCUGGCCCGUGCCGUCUCCGACGCGGGCGGCGAGCCCGUCUCCGACACCGCGCUGGCCCUGCAGCUGCUCCGCGGGGUGACCCCCAGGCUCCGGGUCAUGGGCACCUCCCUGCUCGUCAAUGACCGCUUCCCCAGUUUCAUGGAGGCCUUAUCGUGGCUGCACCUUGAGGAGUACAGACGUGAGCAGGAAAGCAGAUCUUCACCACUUCUGGGCCGGCCCUUUUCCCAUCCGGUCGCGGGCGCAACUGUAGCCGUCGGCGGCUGGUGGAGGAUCGUCCGAUUCGUCAGACGAUCCUCCGUCGUCAUCGGAGGAGGAGGAGACGAUGAUGAGGCCCUUGAGGCGCCGGAUAGCCCGAUCCUGCUGGCGCUUGAGCUUCGCCAGCCCAGCCGCCUCCGUCGUCUUCUCUCCUUGGCCUCACGCUCGGACUGCGAUGUCUCCGCCUUCGUAAGUGACCGGCGGUAUACCCACGCGAGGAGCCGCUCGUCCUCGUCGGGCUUCGUUGGUAACCCGUGGCGGCAGCGGACAGAGGUCUCCGCCGCGUCCCUCUCCCUUGCCCGCUGCCUCUCGUGGCGGGCGGCGCGCGCCUACGACUCCGACGCGUGCGUCCGGGCCGUCGGGGCGGGUACAAGCACCCAUCGCCCGCGUGGGGAGCAGCAGCUGACGGGGGUCAGGGACGACCACCACGUAGGACUGGCGAAGGGGUCUCACACUGACUCGCCCGGAAACCCGGCGGUUCGACAGACACCUCCUCCAUCGCCGUGGUGUGAACGCCGUGUGGCGCCGCUCCGGCUCGCCGCACGAGAGCAAAUUCGC
rnacentral:rRNA from 1 species